UACGUAGGGUGCGAGCGUUGUCCGGAAUUAUUGGGCGUAAAGGGCUCGUAGGCGGUUUGUCGCGUCGGGAGUGAAAACCAGGUGCUUAACACCUGGCUUGCUUUCGAUACGGGCAGACUAGAGGCAUGCAGGGGAGAACGGAAUUCCUGGUGUAGCGGUGAAAUGCGCAGAUAUCAGGAGGAACACCAAUGGCGAAGGCAGCUCGCUGGGACGGUACUGACGCUGAGACGCGAAAGCGUGGGGAGCAAACAGG
rnacentral:rRNA from 1 species